GAUGAACGCUGGCGGCGUGCCUAACACAUGCAAGUCGAGCGAACAGACGAGGAGCUUUCUCCCUUGCAGUUAGCGGCGGAAGGGGGAGUAAAACGUGGAUAACCUACCUAUAUGACUGGGAUAAAUUCGGGAGAAAGGAGCGAAUACCGCAUAAUCUAUCGAACCGCUGGGUCCAAUAGAGAUAAAAGGUUUUCCCGUCACUUAAAGAUGGAUCCGCGCCGCAUUUGCUAGUUGGUAAGGUAGCGGCUUACCAAGGCAACGAUGCGUGGCCGACCCGAGAGGGUAAUCGGCCACACUGGAACUGGGACACGGUCCGGACUCCUACGGGAGGCAGCAGUGGGGAAUCUUCCGCAAUGGGCGAAAUCCUGAGGGAGAAACGCCGCGUGGGUGAUGAAGGCCUUCGGUUCGUAAAACUCUGUUAUUGGGAAAGAACAAAUGUGUGCGAAUCUAUGGACGUCUUGACGGUACCUAAAUAGAAAGCCACGGCUAACUACGUG
rnacentral:rRNA from 1 species